rnacentral:tRNA from 1 species
UAGGAAAAUAGGACUCGAACCUAUUAUUGAGGAAUCAAACCCCUCCGUAUCCCACUCUACUACU